GACGUAGGGUCCAAGCGUUGUCCGGAUUUACUGGGCGUAAAGAGCGCGUAGGCGGUCUGUUAAGUGCACGAGUGAAAUCCCGGGGCUCACCUCCGGAACUGCUCUGCAUACUGGCAGACUUGAGGGUCGGAGAGGUUUGUGGAAUUCCCGGUGUAGAGGUGAAAUUCGUAGAUAUCGGGAGGAACACCGGUGGCGAAGGCGGCGACCUGGACAAGUACUGACACUCAACUACGAAAGCGUGGGGAGCAAACAGG
rnacentral:rRNA from 1 species